rnacentral:rRNA from 1 species
AGCAGCCACCUUUUAAAACGCGUCAAAGCGUAACCUUAAUCUCACAAAAUACCAUCAACCUUCAUGAACCCUUAAUUUAUAAUGAAUGACUCCAUAUUAAUAUGGAAGACACCAUGUUAGGAUUAGUAACAAGAAUUUAUAAUUCUCCAAAAUGCAAAUAUAAACCAACAUGGAUCGACCAUUGGUAAUUACCGAACCUAAACCUACUGCAAUAACGCCACAAGAAAACCCUGCAGUAUUUACUCGUUAACCUAACACUAGCGCAUUCCAGGAAAGAUUUAAAAAAAGAGAAGGAAUUCGGCAAAUGACGGCCCCGCCUGUUUACCAAAAACAUCGCCUCUUGGCUAUAAUAAGAGGUCCAGCCUGCCCAGUGAAUUUUAAACGGCCGCGGUAUCCUAACCGCGCGAAGGUAGCAUAAUCACUUGUUCUUUAAAUGGGGACUCGUAUCAACGGCAUCACGAGGGUUUUACUGUCUCCUCUUUUUGAUCAGUGAAAUUGAUCUUCCCGUGAAGAAGCGGGAAUAUUAAUAUAAGACGAGAAGACCCCAUGGAGCUUCAAACCAAAUAACAACUUAACCACUUAACCCAUAAUAAAUUUAAGCCAUGUUAUAAGGUUUUGGGUUGGGGUGACCGCGGAGUAAAGCACAUCCUCCACGACGGAAAGAACACAAUCUUUAUUUAAGAACUACAAUUCUAGAAAUUAGUAUACUAACGUUUACUGACCCGAUAAUCGAUCAACGGACCAAGUUACCCUGGGGAUAACAGCGCAAUCUACUUCAAGAGCUCAUAUCGACAAGUAGGCUUACGACCUCGAUGUUGGAUCAGGGUAUCCCGGUGGUGCAGCCGCUACCGAAGGUUCGUUUGUUCAACGAUUAAAACCCUACGUG